GUGCACUUAGCUCAUGAAGUGGUUAGAGCACCCUUCUAGAGUUCACGGAAAAAAGGUCACGGGUUCGAGUCCUGUAGUGCACA
rnacentral:tRNA from 1 species